rnacentral:rRNA from 1 species
UACGUAGGGGGCUAGCGUUGUCCGGAAUCAUUGGGCGUAAAGAGCGCGUAGGCGGAUUGCUAAGUCAGGGGUGAAAUCCUGGAGCUCAACUCCAGAACUGCCUUUGAUACUGGCGACCUUGAGUCCGGGAGAGGUGAGUGGAACUGCGAGUGUAGAGGUGAAAUUCGUAGAUAUUCGCAAGAACACCAGUGGCGAAGGCGGCUCACUGGCCCGGUACUGACGCUGAGGUGCGAAAGCGUGGGGAGCAAACAGG